UGGGGAAUAUUGCACAAUGGGCGAAAGCCUGAUGCAGCAACGCCGCGUGAGUGAUGAAGGCCUUCGGGUUGUAAAGCUCUGUCUUUUGGGACGAUAAUGACGGUACCAAAGGAGGAAGCCACGGCUAACUACGUGCCAGCAGCCGCGGUAAUACGUAGGUGGCAAGCGUUGUCCGGAUUUACUGGGCGUAAAGGAUGCGUAGGCGGAUUUUUAAGUGAGAUGUGAAAACCCGUAAGCUUAACUUGGGGACUGCAUUUCAAUACUGGAAAUCUAGAGUGCGGGAGAGGAGAAUGGAAUUCCUAGUGUAGCGGUGAAAUGCGUAGAGAUUAGGAAGAACACCAGUGGCGAAGGCGAUUCUCUGGACCGUAACUGACGCAUGAGGCAUGAAAGCGUGGGUAGCAAACAGGAUUAGAUACCCUGGUAGUCCACGCCGUAAACGAUGAGUACUAGGUGUAGGAGGUAUCGACCCCUUCUGUGCCGCAGUUAACACAAUAAGUACUCCGCCUGGGAAGUACGAUCGCAAGAUUAAAACUCAAAUGAAUUGACGGGGUCAUAGCUGUUUUCCU
rnacentral:rRNA from 1 species